rnacentral:lncRNA from 1 species
AAUACAAAACGCCUAGUUGGGGAUAAAUGGUGAACUACGAGGAGGACAACACAUCAUCCAUGCUGGGGAUAAAUGGAGAACUGUUUAGGGAGAAAACACCUCCAAAUAAACCGUUCUUAGAUUUACUGUUUGGGGAGGGAACAAUGCUUCACACGUCAAGACUUACCAUUCUUAGAUUGUUGUUGACAUUCCUUUUAGAAUUCAAAGUUCUUAAAGUAAAAUCCUUAUUAUUUCAGAAAAAUGUUUAUUCAUUGAUUGAUUUAUU